rnacentral:lncRNA from 1 species
AUUGGGCUACCCGCGUCCCCAGGGCUGGUUCCAUCCCAUCCGCCUGCGCGGGGGCCGUCGUGGCUCCCGGGGCCCCAGUACCUGGGCAAGGGCCCUGGGCGCGUGGUUGGGAGUCCCCCGCCGCCCCGGGAGACGGGAGACUAAUGGGUGUUGUUGACGAGGCCAGGCACGCAGGCGGAGAAGAGCUGCCACUUGCCCCUCGCUCUCCAGGUGGACUCUGCGGUUUUUACCCCACGGCACAAAGUAGCCAGAAUACAAAAACUUCCUGUUUGCCACCCAGGCCUUCUCCAGCUACUGAGAACUUGUUCCGGUGAUGGAGCCUCAAAGGAAUUUGUGGAUUCCUCUCCCACAAGUGUCCAGGGGCAGGGGUGCUGUGAGAAUGUGCAGUUCACAAAGGGAGUGAGAAUGGCAGUCAAAAGAUGUAUAGAGUUAAGGGAAAGAAG